AUUUUGGAUUGAGAUGAUGGAUUGGUUACCACAAAGGUAUUAGUUAAAGAUUAAACAAACUCCAUCACAUCUCUAGCAGGGAGAAGACAGUACAGUCAUCCUGACUAAUGCAGUCCUUCAGUCCUCUGGGGAAGAACUGGAGUGCUGGAAUUCCUGAUGGAUGCAUGCUGUUAAGCAGUAACCACUGUGUUUCCCUUUUGCAACUGGGAAUUUGUAUAUAUUCUGUUCCUCAUUCAUGACUGUAGACUGGAUGUAUUGAAGGCGGGCACAACGUUUGUUAAUUGAUAGGCUAUGAGCAACUACAAAUAAGCUCGAUGGAAAUGAUAGUGCAUCACCCAUAAAAUGCAACUUAAAGUUGAUGAAGCAAAAGAUUCUUUAUUUGACCUCCUUGAUUCACCAUCAGCCAAGAAAUAUGAGCUAAUACUUGAAUAUUAUUAAAAUAGUACUAAUUUCCUAUAUACCGACUUUACUAUUUAGUUUACAAGAUAUUUCAAUAUUAUAUGAU